GAGUUUCUUUACGUGGGCAAUCUCAGUUUAUUCUUGGCGCAUAAUUUUGAUUUCAUUUAAGUAAAGGAUUGGCACUAGAGGUCAGAGGUUACAUUCUCUACGUGGUAUGUUCGUGUAUUUUCUUUCUAUUUAAUUUAUACUAAUAUUCUUCUCAUAAUUGCAGAUUACCCACGAUUGUGUGUACACGAUUGUUUGUAUUAUUAUUUGCAACUUUUAAACGCCGAAAAUUCAGUUACCGCAUGAAUUACAACCAAACGAAGCUGGUUAGCAUAAUAAAGCGCGUCCAACUGAAGUGCGUAUAAGGAGUGCCGAGUCCUUUAGGCAAAAGAACGUCUGCAGCCGCGACA